UAGUAUUGUUAAUAAAGAGUCAUAGUUUGAUUUGUGCUCGGUUAAUUUCAGUGUUCGAUAGUAAAAGUGCAAAAGUGUUUUUGUUUUUCGUUCAAAAUGAAGCGCUGUUGCGUGCCUAAGUGUAAAACAGCUAUUAAUUUACGUGCUGUACCAUAUACUGAUGUUACUAGAUGGAAGAAGAAGGACUUGAUCAUUGGAAAUCAGCAUGCUCAAUGGGCUUUCAUUGAACGGGCUUAUGCUACUGAUGGUGCAGGAGGACGUGCCAGAACCAUAGAUUUAAUGAUAAACAUAUAAACCCAAGUUCCUACGAUAAGAUGAAGGUCAAUUAUUAUGCUUCGGACGUCUUCAGUUACAGAGGUACACUGUACACUGCCUUUUACUUGGGAAAAUGAAGUCAUACGAAGAUCUUAGUUAUAGUGCUCCACAAUUAUGUUAACAUAACUCUCUUACAUACUUAUAACAUAAGCCUCUCUGGUUCAGUGGUUACCCUAUGUGGUCACGAGGUCCGGGGUUAUAUAAGAUACUGAGCUUUUCAUCUAAGAAAUUUUGACUUAUAAUUCUCAGUCCUUAGUUGGGAAUUUAGUGGUGUUACACCCUGUGCCUCAGAGUGCAUGUUAACCUGUCCCGGACAAGGCCACGUCCCGUAAAUAAUGGAUAAAACGCAAAUGGUAGAUACGCCACCUAAUUCUACAAUUCUACGUUUUAUACUAAUUUACUACCCUCUAUAAGUGUACAAGUUUUUAAAAUAAUGGUUUUUUCGAUUCAAAAUUAGAUUUCAUCAUUUUUUACCGGACAAUGUGUUUUAAAUCGGGUCCUAAUGAAAGAAAAAUAAUUAUUACACAAAAAAUAGUCAAAUUAGUUAUAGAUAAUAAGGUGGUGUCAUUCGAUUCGGAAUUGAAUAUACAUAGUUUUUGAAAAAUUUGAAGGCCCGCUCACUAAAAUUGCAAAAGUUAUAAAUAAUUCACUAAAAAUGAAAAAGGGGUUCAAGCAUUUUUAUAGGAGACAGAACUUUUUUUACUAAAGAGCAGUGACCACAUUCCAUCCAGUUUAAAUGCGUUAUAUCCAUUAAUUACGCGACAUCUGUCAUAUAUUUUGUGAAGUAGUCAUAUAAUUUUGUAACUGUACAAUUUGGUAUUUUACUGCAUGGAAAUGUUUACAUUUUUAUUAAAGAAAUAAAUAAAAGA